GACGAACGCUGGCGGCGGGCCUAAUACAUGCAAGUAGAACGCUGAAGGAGGAGCUUGCUUCUCUGGAUGAGUUGCGAACGGGUGAGUAACGCGUAGGUAACCUGCCUGGUAGCGGGGGAUAACUAUUGGAAACGAUAGCUAAUACCGCAUAAUAGUAGAUGUUGCAUGACAUUUGCGUAAAAGUUGCACUUGCAUCACUACCAGAUGGACCUGCGGUGUAUUAGCUAGUUGGUGGGGUAACGGCUCACCAAGGCGGCGAUACAUAGCCGACCUGAGAGGGUGAUCGGCCACACUGGGGCUGAGACACGGCCCAGACUCCUACGGGAGGCAGCAGUAGGGAAACUUCGGCAAUGGACGGAAGUCUGACCGAGGAAAGCCGCGUGAGUGAAGAAGGUUUUCGGAUCGUAAAGCUCUGUUGUAAGAGAAGAAAGAGUGUGAGAGUGGAAAGUUCACACUGUGACGGUAUCUUAACAGAAAGGGACGGCUAACUACGUG
rnacentral:rRNA from 1 species